GGGCCCGCACAAGCGGUGGAGCAUGUGGUUUAAUUCGAUGAUACGCGAGGAACCUUACCAGGGCUUAAAUGUAAGUUGCAUAAGUUAGAGAUAGCUUUUUCUUCGGACUACUUACAAGGUGCUGCAUGGUUGUCGUCAGCUCGUGCCGUGAGGUGUCAGGUUAAGUCCUAUAACGAGCGCAACCCCUGUUGUUAGUUGCCAUCGAGUAAUGUCGGGAACUCUAACAAGACUGCCGGUGCAAACCGUGAGGAAGGUGGGGAUGACGUCAAAUCAUCACGGCCCUUACGUCCUGGGCUACACACGUGCUACAAUGGCCGGUACAGAGAGCAGCCACUACGCGAGUAGGAGCGAAUCUAUAAAACCGGUCUCAGUUCGGAUCGCAGUCUGCAACUCGACUGCGUGAAGCUGGAAUCGCUAGUAAUCGGAUAU
rnacentral:rRNA from 1 species